rnacentral:ncRNA from 1 species
CGCCAUUCUCAGGGCGGGGCGAAAUUCCCCACCGGCGGUAUGCAGGGCACGACCCCGCGAGCCCGCGAGCGCAACUCCCGCUAGGGGUUGGUCAGCAGAUCUGGUGAGAUGCCAGAGCCGACGGUCAUAGUCCGGAUGAAAGAGAAUGCGU